AGGGUUCGAUUCUGGCUCAGGAUGAACGCUGGCGGCGUGCUUAACACAUGCAAGUCGAACGGGAUCCAUCGGGCUUUGCUUGGUGGUGAGAGUGGCGAACGGGUGAGUAAUGCGUGACCGACCUGCCCCAUGCACCGGAAUAGCUCCUGGAAACGGGUGGUAAUGCCGGAUGUUCCAGUUGAUCGCAUGGUCUUCUGGGAAAGCUUUCGCGGUAUGGGAUGGGGUCGCGUCCUAUCAGCUUGACGGCGGGGUAACGGCCCACCGUGGCUUCGACGGGUAGCCGGCCUGAGAGGGCGACCGGCCACAUUGGGACUGAGAUACGGCCCAGACUCCUACGGGAGGCAGCAGUGGGGAAUAUUGCACAAUGGGCGCAAGCCUGAUGCAGCGACGCCGCGUGAGGGAUGGAGGCCUUCGGGUUGUAAACCUCUUUUAUCGGGGAGCAAGCGUGAGUGAGUUUACCCGUUGAAUAAGCACCGGCUAACUACGUGCCAGCAGCCGCGGUAAUACGUAGGGUGCAAGCGUUAUCCGGAAUUAUUGGGCGUAAAGGGCUCGUAGGCGGUUCGUCGCGUCCGGUGUGAAAGUCCAUCGCUUAACGGUGGAUCCGCGCCGGGUACGGGCGGGCUUGAGUGCGGUAGGGGAGACUGGAAUUCCCGGUGUAACGGUGGAAUGUGUAGAUAUCGGGAAGAACACCAAUGGCGAAGGCAGGUCUCUGGGCCGUUACUGACGCUGAGGAGCGAAAGCGUGGGGAGCGAACAGGAUUAGAUACCCUGGUAGUCCACGCCGUAAACGGUGGAUGCUGGAUGUGGGGCCCGUUCCACGGGUUCCGUGUCGGAGCUAACGCGUUAAGCAUCCCGCCUGGGGAGUACGGCCGCAAGGCUAAAACUCAAAGGAAUUGACGGGGGCCC
rnacentral:rRNA from 1 species